CUCUUGCCGUCAUGACUGCCUGUUUCUUUUAGCAACGGUACAUGGUGUCAGAAGUGCCGAAGCCUCGCCGUAAUGGGUACCGUCAAGCCUCCAGAGACGCUGCAGUUGUCGGGGAAUAAUACGCAGAAACUGGUAGAGUUUCAGACAAAAGCUGGAGCUUUUGCUUACUGCGACGCCCACUAAACCACUGAGGACAGAAGCCACGAAGACAGCAAUCCUCCCCAGCAUCGCCGGUGAAGGUGCCCUCGACGUCUAUAGCAACUUCACAGAAGGGCACUGGCUGUGUCAGCAGACGAUGAUACCGGAUGGUCUUGCGGGAGGAUACAGUAGUGCACCCAGCCCAACCCUUGGCCAUGAGGGAGCCGCUUCGACAAGAGCGCCUGGAAAGGGCUUGAAUUAUCAAGGUGGAUGAGCCUACAGAAUGGUUCGUGCCUGGCAAGACAUGGUUCUGGCGGGCAUGUUGUCUCGUGCACCUUUGUCAUCACAGGCGUCCAGUGCACCGACAGACGUCGACUUCCAUGCGGUACAGGUCGUCUCCAGUAUCGUAACCACGCCAAUUAAGGUGCGUCUGGAAAGGGAAACCAGACUCGACCCGUACUGAAGUGAGAUGAUGGCCGCUCUCCGGGCGAACUGCUGCAAGGCCGGCACCUUCGCACUGCCCUGCCCAGGUACCACGAGGAUCCAGGUGUCCCAGUAGCAAAGUAUCACCAGUCUUCGAAGGGCAAGCUACUGCCACCGCUCAAAGAGGGAAG
rnacentral:lncRNA from 1 species